GUAGGGAAUAUUGCGCAAUGGGCGAAAGCCUGACGCAGCCAUGCCGCGUGAAUGAUGAAGGUCUUAGGAUUGUAAAAUUCUUUCACCGGGGACGAUAAUGACGGUACCCGGAGAAGAAGCCCCGGCUAACUUCGUGCCAGCAGCCGCGGUAAUACGAAGGGGGCUAGCGUUGCGCGGAAUUACUGGGCGUAAAGGGCGCGUAGGCGGACAGUUUAGUCAGAGGUGAAAGCCCAGGGCUCAACCUUGGAAUUGCCUUUGAUACUGGCUGUCUUGAGUACGGGAGAGGUGAGUGGAACUCCGAGUGUAGAGGUGAAAUUCGUAGAUAUUCGGAAGAACACCAGUGGCGAAGGCGACUCACUGGCCCGUUACUGACGCUGAGGCGCGAAAGCGUGGGGAGCAAACAGGAUUAGAUACCCGAGUAGUCC
rnacentral:rRNA from 1 species